UUCGGGACUGAUUAUUUUGUGACUGAGUGGCGGACGGGUGAGUAACGCGUGGGUAACCUGCCUUGUACAGGGGGAUAACAGUUGGAAACGGCUGCUAAUACCGCAUAAGCGCACAGCAUCGCAUGAUGCAGUGUGAAAAACUCCGGUGGUGUGAGAUGGACCCGCGGUCUGAUUAGCCAGUUGGCGGGGUAACGGCCCACCAAAGCGACGAUCAGUAGCCGGCCUGAGAGGGUGAACGGCCACAUUAGGACUGAGACACGGCCCAAACUCC
rnacentral:rRNA from 1 species